UACGUAGGGGGCAAGCGUUGUCCGGAUUUAUUGGGCGUAAAGAGCGUGUAGGCGGCCUGACAGGUCUGCUGUGAAAACUCGAGGCUCAACCUCGAGAUGUCGGCGGAAACCGUCUGGCUAGAGUCCGGAAGAGGAGAGUGGAAUUCCUGGUGUAGCGGUGAAAUGCGUAGAUAUCGUAAGGAAGACCAGUGGCGAAGGCGGGUCUCUGGGCCGUAACUGACGCUGAGGAGCGAAAGCGUGGGGAGCGAACAGG
rnacentral:rRNA from 1 species